rnacentral:rRNA from 1 species
GACGAACGCUGGCGGCGCGCUUAACACAUGCAAGUCGAGCGGUAAGGCUCCUUCGGGAGUACACGAGCGGCGAACGGGUGAGUAACACGUGAGCAAUCUGCCCUUCUAAUCGGAAUACGCGUGGGAAACCGCGUCUAAUGCCGAAUACGAACUCCUCUCGCAUGAUCGGAGGUGGAAAGCUCCGGCAGAGAAGGAUGAGCGCGCGGCCUACCAGCUAGUUGCGGAGGUAACGGCCCACCAAGGCGACGACGGGUAGCCGGCCCUCGAGGGUGACCGGCCACACUGGGACUGAGACACGGCCCAGACUCCUACGGGAGGCAGCAGUGAGGAAUAUUGGACAAUGGGCGAAAGCCUGAUCCAGCAACGCCGCGUGAGGGAUGACGGCCUUCGGGUUGUAAACCUCUUUCAGCAGGGACGAAGCGAAAGUGACGGUACCUGCAGAAGAAGGACCGGCCAACUACGUGCCAGCCGCCGCGGUAAAAC